GAGUUUGAACCUGGCUCAGGAUGAACGCUGGCGGCGUGCCUAAUACAUGCAAGUCGAGCGAACAGAUAAGGAGCUUGCUCCUUUGAAGUUAGCGGCGGACGGGUGAGUAACACGUGGGUAACCUACCUAUAAGACUGGGAUAACUUCGGGAAACCGGAGCUAAUACCGGAUAAUAUUUAGAACCGCAUGGUUCUAAAGUGAAAGAUGGUUUUGCUAUCACUUAUAGAUGGACCCGCGCCGUAUUAGCUAGUUGGUAAGGUAACGGCUUACCAAGGCGACGAUACGUAGCCGACCUGAGAGGGUGAUCGGCCACACUGGAACUGAGACACGGUCCAGACUCCUACGGGAGGCAGCAGUAGGGAAUCUUCCGCAAUGGGCGAAAGCCUGACGGAGCAACGCCGCGUGAGUGAUGAAGGGUUUCGGCUCGUAAAACUCUGUUAUUAGGGAAGAACAAAUGUGUAAGUAACUGUGCACAUCUUGACGGUACCUAAUCAGAAAGCCACGGCUAACUACGUGCCAGCAGCCGCGGUAAUACGUAGGUGGCAAGCGUUAUCCGGAAUUAUUGGGCGUAAAGCGCGCGUAGGCGGUUUCUUAAGUCUGAUGUGAAAGCCCACGGCUCAACCGUGGAGGGUCAUUGGAAACUGGGAAACUUGAGUGCAGAAGAGGAAAGUGGAAUUCCAUGUGUAGCGGUGAAAUGCGCAGAGAUAUGGAGGAACACCAGUGGCGAAAGCGAC
rnacentral:rRNA from 1 species